rnacentral:rRNA from 1 species
AACGAACGCUGGCGGCAGGCCUAACACAUGCAAGUCGAACGCCCCGCAAGGGGAGUGGCAGACGGGUGAGUAACACGUGGGAACCUUCCUAGAGGUACGGAACAACGCAGGGAAACUUGCGCUAAUACCGUAUACGCUCGAGAGAGGAAAGAUUUAUCGCCUUUAGACGGGCCCGCGUCGGAUUGGCUAGUUGGUGGGGUAACGGCCUACCAAGGCGACGAUCCGUAGCUGAUCUGAGAGGAUGAUCAGCCACACUGGGACUGAGACACGGCCCAGACUCCUACGGGAGGCAGCAGUGGGGAAUCUUGGACAAUGGGCGCAAGCCUGAUCCAGCCAUGCCGCGUGAGUGAAGAAGGCCUUCGGGUUGUAAAGCUCUUUUGUCAGGGACGAUAAUGACGGUACCUGAAGAAUAAGCCCCGGCAAACUUCGUGCCAGCCGCCGCAGUAA